AUGGUAAGAAUGCUUCGAGGGCUCGUGAUCCUCGCCGCCGCCGUCGUCGCCCUGCAGUGCUGUGAGCUCCCACGCAGGGCGGAUGGCAGGUGCGUCCUGUUCAACUUCGGCGACUCCAACUCCGACACGGGCUCCCUCCCUGCCGCCUACGGCUUCUACCUCGGCCCGCCCGCCGGCCGCCGCUUCUUCAACCGGACCACCGGCCGCUGGUCGGACGGCCGCCUCUACAUCGACUUCAUUGCCGAGAGCCUGGGGAUCAGGUACCUGAGCCCGUACCUGGAGUCGUCGGGUUCCAACUUCGCCGACGGAGUGAACUUCGCGGUGGCCGGGGCGGCGGCGGCGAGCAACCAGAGCGCCAUCCCGUUCACCAUGGCCACGCAGGUGAACCAGUUUUUGCAUUUCAAGAACCGGACCCGGGAGCUCCGGCCGCUGGGGCAGGGCUCGAUGCUCCCGGAGGAGGACUUCCGGGGAGCCGUGUACUCGAUCGACGUCGGGCAGAACGACAUCACGCUCGCCUUCCUUGCGAACCUCACGCUGCCGGAGAUCGUCGCGGACGGCGGCCCGCUCGCCGCGGUCGCCGCCAAGGUCGAGGAGGCCGUCCGGGCGCUGUACGGCAGCGGCGCGCGCAAGUUCUGGGUGUACAACACGGGGCCCAUCGGGUGCCUGCCGCAGACGCUGGCGCUGCGGCAGAGGCCCGGCGACGAGCUCGACCCCGCCGGCUGCCUCGCCCGCUACAACGCCGCCGCCCGGGCGCUCAACGCCGGCCUCGCCGCGGCGUGCCGCCGGCUCGCGGACGAGUACUGCGGGAGCGCGACCGUGGUGUGCACCGACAUGUACGCCGUCAAGUACGACCUGUUCGCCAACCACGACCAGUACGGCAUCGAGCGGCCGCUGAUGGCGUGCUGCGGCCACGGCGGGCCGCCGUACAACUACGUGAACCUCAAGACGUGUGGGCAGCCGACGGCGACGGCGUGCCCGGAGGGGGAGAGGCACGUGAGCUGGGACGGCGUGCACUACACCGAGGACGCCAACGCUAUCGUCGCCUCCAAGAUACUCUCCGGCGACUUCUCCCAGCCGCGCACCAAGCUACAGGCACUGUGCAAAUAA
rnacentral:rRNA from 1 species